rnacentral:rRNA from 1 species
UUCCUACGGGGAAGCAGCAGUCGGGAAUUUUGGGCAAUGGGCGAAAGCCUGACCCAGCAACGCCGCGUGAAGGAUGAAAUCCUUCGGGAUGUAAACUUCGCAAGAGCAGGAAGAAUAAGCCGGUGUUAAUAUCGCCGGUGAUGACGGUACUGUUUGUAAGCUCCGGCUAACUCCGUGCCAGCAGCCGCGGUAAUACGGGGGGAGCAAGCGUUGUUCGGAUUUACUGGGCGUAAAGGGCGCGUAGGCGGCCACCGCAAGUCAGUUGUGAAAGCUCUGGGCUUAACCCAGAAAGGUCAACUGAUACUGCGGGGCUAGAGUGCAGAAGGGGCAACUGGAAUUCUCGGUGUAGCGGUGAAAUGCGUAGAUAUCGAGAGGAACACCUGCGGCGAAGGCGGGUUGCUGGGCUGACACUGACGCUGAGGCGCGAAAGCUAGGGGAGCGAACGGGAUUAGAUACCCCGGUAGUCCUAGCCUUAAACGAUGAAUGCUUGGUGUCUGGGGUUUUAUAGUCCCCGGGUGCCGUCGCUAACGCUUUAAGCAUUCCGCCUGGGGAGUACGGUCGCAAGACUGAAACUCAAAGGAAAUUGACGG